rnacentral:lncRNA from 1 species
GGACAAUUCAGGUCCGUUCGAUGUUCGUUCUGAAAAGGGUUGGUUGGUGUAUUUUAUAGUUCUAGGGAUUGGAUUUCACUCAAAACCCACCAAAUGACUCCUCCCAACAAUAUUAUGAUGUUCCCCAUGCUUUGGACACAAUCCGAUAUCGAUCGUUGCACGAAAUUUGACAAUUCAGGUACGUACGAAGUUCGUUCUGAAAUGGAGUGGUUGGUGUACUGUAUAGUUCUAGGGAUUGUAUUUCACUCAAAACCCACCACAUGACUCUUCCC